rnacentral:rRNA from 1 species
GACGAACGCUGGCGGCGUGCCUAACACAUGCAAGUCGAACGGAAAGGCCCCUUUGGCUCUUCUCGAGUGGCGAACGGGUGAGUAACACGUGUGUAACCUUCCCUUGUCUUCGGGAUAACCUUACGAAACUGGGGCUAAUACCCGCUUAGAUUCUUUGCUGCAUGGUGGGGGUUGUAAAGCUUCGGCGGUUUUGGAUGGACUCGCGUCUUAUUAGCUUGUUGGUGGGGUAGUGGCUUACCAAGGCUUUGAUCGGUAGCGGGCCUGAGAGGGGGAACGGCCACACUGAGACUGAGAGAAGGCCCAGAAGCCGAAGGGAGGAAGCAGGGGGGAAUAUUGAACAAUGGGCGGAAGCCGGAUGAAGCAACGACGCGGGCGGGAUGACGGACUUAGGGUUGUAAAACGCUAGCAACAGGGGCGAAGCUUGUGGUGACGGUACCAGAAGAAGAAGCACCGGCUAACUACGUG